UAAAAAAUCGUGUAUUCACAG
ensembl:piRNA 21ur-15559 ncRNA